AUUCCUUCUUUGCCCUACACACAGCAAAGUGAUUAAUCAAAUCCCCAAGGUCAAAUCUGACCAUUUACCCAGUCAAAGAAAGCUUUUGACUUUCGGAUAUUAUAACCCAAAAAUGACAGCUCCCUUCCUAUGAGUUAUAGGUCGUUUAUAUUUGUUGUUCGGAAACCCUAAAACACCUUUAGACAUAUAUAAGCUUCUUUUUCAUUCAAACACAUCCAACCACCUAAAAUAAACCCUGGUCGUGAGACCUCCUUCGAUGUUCUUCUCUGAAGAACACGAAGAACACCAACCCCAAUCGUACACCAGAUCACACCCAGAAAAAACAUUACACAGCCCAGUUCAAAUCAACCUCAAACCGAGCCUUGCAAAACCAAUUAUAUACCCAGAAAUCAGACAAUAAACCCCAAGAAAUUAACCCUUAUCAGCCCGAUAUAAUACCCCCCAAAAAAAUAAACAUAAAUCAUAUAAAAUACAGAAAAGAAAAAUGGAGAGAACACACCAAAUUUUUAUAGAGGUUUCUCAAAAUUGUGCUGGGUACAUCCUCUUCGAGCUCGCCUCGUUCCACUAUGGAUCUUCAAAGAUCAGAGAUUACAAUCAAUGGGUGGGAUUCCAAAACACACAGCUUACUCCAUUGUAAGCCUCCUCCAAAAAAACUCCCCAAAAUCAAUCUAUUUCUCCUCUGUGAAAACUGAUAUGAUUUUGUUGUAUAAUGUUCUGCCUCUGAAUUUUUUCUUGUUGCUGUAGUACUGAUCUCUGUUGUGUUGUUCUGAUAUGAGAUUGUAUUUAUAUUAGUGUAUAUAAACAGAGAAUGCUAAAAGUUAGUUACAAAGUUUUAACAAACUUUGUAAUAUAACUGACUUGCUGAUGCUGUCUGCAACUUGUUAGAGACCAAAGGCCACUUAGUCCUUUAUUUACUGCCUUGUAAAACUCUGUGUAAUAUUCUAGUUUUUACAGUGUACAGGUAAUAUGGGAUUUUAUUUCAA